rnacentral:lncRNA from 1 species
GGAGCGUCCGGGACGCGGCGGGACUCGAGUGUUUCGGAAAAGGAGCGUCUCCCCAGGCGGUGGUUGUCUUCACUAGCGAUGGGGUAAAAGGAGGACGCAAUACCUGGUUCAACUUGAGCAGGUACAUUUUGACCAUAUUCCAGGUGUCAUGUGAAGAUUUAAGCCUCUUUCCAACCCCCACUCCCCCCGAAUCUACUGCAUCCUUUUUGGAGUCUUCAUUCUUAGGCACAUUUUGUCAAGACUUAAAACCUACCAAAGAAAAGAUACACUGAGGUCAGAUCCAAUCCCACUGGGGGCCAGCGAGUGAAAUGCGACGGUUUCCUUUUAUAAUCUCUGUUUUUCAUAAUGAUGACAUUAAAAAUCUUGAGGUUUCCCAGUAGAUAUUUAAGCUGAAAGCAACAUUGUGCUUGUCUUCAGAGACCAAGACUUUCUGGCUCUUGUCUUGGAAUAUUUCGCAAAGUCAUAGGCAAAACACACACAAACAAACAGAACCAAAACACAGCAGACCACUCACGGGGGACCGAACCAGGCAGUUAGCCCAGCAUCCCCCUGCUGCGGGAGGAGGGAGCUUGGAUACUCCUCUCUGGAGAAUCCUGCUCUGGAAAUCCCCACACCCCAAAAUGCAAUGUAGAGGGGCAGUGAGUCAGCACCUCACCCCAAAUGAAUGGCCGUUCUGCUCAGCAGGCUCAACGCUUAGAUCCCCAGAUCCAGUUUCUCUUUGCUUUCUGUAAUUGGAAGAAUGGAAUAGGAUUGCUGCUAGAAAUCUUUGAGGUCACUGGUUUGAAAGUGGGAUUAUGAGCAUGAAUUUUUGUUGUUGUUGUUUGUUUGUUUUCAGACGGAGUCUCGCUAUGUUGCCCAGGCUGGGGUGCAGUGGCGUGAUCUCUGCUCACUGCAAGCUCCGCCUCCCGGGUUCACGCCAUUCUCCUGCCUCAGCCUCCCGAGUAGCUGGGACCACAGGCGCCCGCCACCACGCCCGGCUGAUUUUUUUUAUUUUUAGUAGAGACGGGGUUUCACCGUGUUAGCCAGGAUGAUCUCAAUCUCCUGACCUCGUGAUCCGCCCGCCUGGGCCUCCCAAAGUGCUGGGAUUACAGGUGUGAGCCACCGCGCCUGGCCGAGCAUGUUAAUUUAAGCAAAUGAAUGUCCCUGGGAAUGAUCUUCAAGGAGAAUUAAAGUGGGAUAGAGAAGUCAUCUAUCUGCACCUGUGUCUGAACCAGAAUGACGAGGCACUUCCAUGUCAGCUAGUUACUGGAGCAGGCGGAGUAAGGAGUACCCCUGGGCUUCUGCCCCGAAACCACCACGGCUACUUCAAAACAAUAUUACAUUAAUUUUCCUGCUUGUUCUUGAGAAGCACUGGUUUGAAAAAUUGGAUGGGGUGAUACAUGUUUUAAUCAGUAUUUACAAGGCUCCUUAAUCACUUCAUCAGACAAUUCAUUGAGCACCUACUAUGUGCCAGGCAGUGUAAUUCAUUGAGCACCUGCUGUGUGCCAGGCAGUGUCUGAGGCACUUCUAGCUAUUAUUUCCUAAGGGUUCCAGCAGCCCAUGGAUAAACUUCAAAGAGUGUAAGCUCCUAAAAAUUGUUCGUAUUUUCUGCACAUUUUUGUAGUUUUGGAGAAGAGAGUUAAUGGAGUUCUUGCCAUUCUCAGAAUUAUUUGAUCCCUUUAGGAAUGAGCAUCUCUAGCCUCUGCCUGUUCAUCUGGGACAAUCUGCACCUGGGCGUGGACCUGCUGCUUCAGAUCAGUAGGUAUCAGAAUGAACUCAGUUGGAUGGGGCAGUUCAGGACCCCUGGCCUCCUUUUAGUCUGGACCCCACUCUCAUUCCUCAUAUUCUCAAUUCACUCUUUCUACUGAGUUACUAUCCUAGUAAUGACAAUGCCUCCUAUCAUCUAGAGACUUGGUUUGAUACAAUGCAUUCACAUACAACUGCUCGUUUUGAUUUCUAUAACUGGGGAAUACAGAAAGCAAAUAUGCGGUGCAAUGGAGGAUGUCUCCAUUACCCCAGAUAACUCCAAAAUUCUUCACCUAGUUACCAGUGCAGGAAAUUCGUUCGAAGGCAGAAAUGGAAAAUGAAUAAGAAACAAUUUGGAUGUGUUCCAAAAAUGGAGAGUUGUCAGGCACUAUAUCAUACAACCUGAAAUAUCAAUGGUGAAGUAGACAGUUCACCUCCACAGGGGGCAGGAGGUUGGACCCAGGGCAAUGGAUGUUUUAUAUGGAUGGUUAACCGGUCUGUGGCCAUGAGGUGGAAAGCUGUGUACACCUGUGAAGCCAUCAUCACAAUCAAGUUAGGGAACAUAUCCAUCACCCAAAAAAGUGUUCUCAUGCCCUUUGGUAAUUCCUCCCUCCUAAAUGUCCCCACCCUACCCCACAUCCCAGUUUCUAUGCAAAAACCGCUGACCAACUUUCUAUCACUAUAGAUUUGUUUGUAUUUUCUAGACUUUUAUAUAAAAAGAAUUAUACUGUAUGUACACUUUUUUGUCUGUUUUUUUCACUUAACAUAUUUAUUUUCAGAAUCAUCUAUCUUGUUGCAGGUGUAUUCCUUUUUAUUGCUCAGUAGUAUUCCACUGUAUGGAUAUAACACAAUUUGUUUAUCAUUCACCUGUUGAGGGACAUUAUACUUGCUUCUAAAUUUUUACUAUCACAAAUAAAGCUGCUGUAG